GACGAACGCUGGCGGCGUGCCUAAUGCAUGCAAGUCGAGCGACGCAUACGGGGCUUGCCCUGUAUGACGGAGCGGCGAACGGGUGAGUAACACGUGAGCAACCUGCCCCGAAGACCGGGAUAGCCCGAGGAAACUCGGAUUAAUACCGGAUACCUUCACACCUCCGCAUGGAGGAGUGAAGAAAGGCCUUUGUGCUUCGGGAUGGGCUCGCGACCUAUCAGCUAGUUGGUGAGGUAACAGCUCACCAAGGCAUCGACGGGUAGCUGGUCUGAGAGGACGAUCAGCCACACUGGAACUGAGACACGGUCCAGACUCCUACGGGAGGCAGCAGCAGGGAAUAUUGCACAAUGGGCGAAAGCCUGAUGCAGCAACGCCGCGUGAGGGAUGAAGGCCUUCGGGUUGUAAACCUCUUUCAGGAGGGAAGAAAUUGACGGUACCUCCAAAAGAAGCCCCGGCUAACUACG
rnacentral:rRNA from 1 species